rnacentral:rRNA from 2 species
CAUGCGAGUCAUGGGGCGCCUUGCGCGCACCGGCGGACGGCUCAGUAACACGUCGGUAACCUACCCUCGGGAGGGGGAUAACCCCGGGAAACUGGGGCUAAUCCCCCAUAGGCCUGAGGUACUGGAAGGUCCUCAGGCCGAAAGGGGCUCUGCCCGCCCGAGGAUGGGCCGGCGGCCGAUUAGGUAGUUGGUGGGGUAACGGCCCACCAAGCCGAAGAUCGGUACGGGCCAUGAGAGUGGGAGCCCGGAGAUGGACACUGAGACACGGGUCCAGGCCCUACGGGGCGCAGCAGGCGCGAAACCUCCGCAAUGCGGGCAACCGCGACGGGGGGACCCCCAGUGCCGUGGCAUCGCCACGGCUUUUCCGGAGUGUAAAGAGCUCCGGGAAUAAGGGCUGGGCAAGGCCGGUGGCAGCCGCCGCGGUAAUACCGGCGGCCCGAGUGGUGGCCGCUAUUAUUGGGCCUAAAGCGUCCGUAGCCGGGCCCGUAAGUCCCUGGCGAAAUCCCACGGCUCAACCGUGGGGCUUGCUGGGGAUACUGCGGGCCUUGGGACCGGGAGAGGCGGAGGGUACUCCUGGGGUAGGGGUGAAAUCCUAUAAUCCCAGGAGGACCGCCAGUGGCGAAGGCGCUCCGCUGGAACGGGUCCGACGGUGAGGGACGAAGGCCAGGGGAGCGAACCGGAUUAGAUACCCGGGUAGUCCUGGCUGUAAAGGAUGCGGGCUAGGUGUCGGGCGAGCUUCGUGCUCGCUCGGUGCCGAAGGGAAGCCGUUAAGCCCGCCGCCUGGGGAGUACGGCCGCAAGGCUGAAACUUAAAGGAAUUGGCGGGGGAGCACUACAAGGGGUGGAGCGUGCGGUUUAAUUGGAUUCAACGCCGGGAACCUCACCGGGGGCGACGGCAGGAUGAAGGCCAGGCUGAAGGUCUUGCCGGACACGCCGAGAGGAGGUGCAUGGGCCGCCGUCAGCUCGUACCGUGAGGCGUCCACUUAAGUGUGGUAACGAGCGAGACCCGCGCCCCCAGUUGCCAGUCCUCCCCGCUGGGGAGGAGGCACUCUGGGGGGACCGCCGGCGAUAAGCCGGAGGAAGGAGCGGGCGACGGUAGGUCAGUAUGCCCCGAAACCCCCGGGCUACACGCGCGCUACAAUGAGCGGGACAAUGGGAUCCGACCCCGAAAGGGGAAGGUAAUCCCCUAAACCCGCUCCCAGUUCGGAUCGCGGGCUGCAACUCGCCCGCGUGAAGCUGGAAUCCCUAGUACCCGCGUGUCAUCAUCGCGCGGCGAAUACGUCCCUGCUCCUUGCACACACCGCCCGUCACUCCACCCGAGCGGGGUCUGGAUGAGGCCUGAUCUCCCUUCGGGGAGGCCGGGUCGAGUCUGGGCUCCGUGAGGGGGAGAAGUCG